CCAUUGCCCGAGGCGAGCCGCCUGGAUUUAUCCGGAUGGUUCACCGUGGGCGCCGGCGGGGGCGACAUCUUUCACAGCGUGUCGCAUGCCCGACCCCGCCUAUUACUCCUUUGCCUACUCCUACUCAGCGUAGGGGUAGGCAUCUUUUUACUCCCCGCUCGGUAG
rfam:Hepatitis C virus clone MD2b6-1 polyprotein mRNA, complete cds